rnacentral:rRNA from 1 species
AAAUGAAUAGACGGGGGCCCGCACAAGCGGAGGAGCAUGUGGUUUAAUUCGAUGAUACGCGAGGAACCUUACCAGGGCUCGAACGCAGGAGGAAUACUCCCGAAAGGAAGUAGCCAGAAAUGGCCGCCUGCGAGGUGCUGCAUGGUUGUCGUCAGCUCGUGCCGUGAGGUGUCAGGUUAAGUCCUAUAACGAGCGCAACCCCUAUUCAUAGUUGCCAGCAUAUUACGGUGGGGACUCUAUGAAAACUGCCUGCGCAAGCAGUGAGGAAGGUGGGGAUGACGUCAAAUCAGCACGGCCCUUAUGUCCUGGGCUACACACGUGCUACAAUGGCCGGUACAGAAGGCCGCAACCACGCAAGUGGAAGCUAAUCCCUAAAACCGGUCUCAGUUCGGAUUGGAGUCUGCAACCCGACUCCAUGAAGCCGGAUUCGCUAGUAAUCGCACAUCAGCCAUGGCGCGGUGAAUACGUUCCCGGGCCUUGUACACACCGCCCGU